rnacentral:lncRNA from 1 species
GCAUAUGUGCUUUUCUGUUCUUAGUUGAGACGAGUUCUUCCGUAUGCACUCCAUCUCCUAGCUGCAGACUAAUUACUUUCAUGCGGUGGGUGUUUGACGGAAUGCUUCACUAGCAAUCUGUAGAAACAUAUGCUUCAUGGGAUGAUGUAUCAUAAGUUUAUCCUAUAAAUUUUGGUGAAAUUAAUUGAUUCAUCAUUUAUAUACUAAUUAUUAGUAAUGUGGAAUGAGAUGACGACAGAUCAACUUAUUCUAUUGUAUAAAACAAAUAAAAAAUUGAGUAGUAAUAAGAAAAAAUGGAUCACUUUAUUCUUUAAAUCAAACACACCUAAGCGAGAGAGUACGAGCUCCCCACGCUGCUCACGCGGGACGAGGGGGUGAAGGCCUCGUCAUUCACUCAUUCCCUAACCUCGGCUCCCAGCUCAUGGGUUCGUUUAACCCACCAGAGAUCGAUCCCUCUAUCUCUCUCCUUACUGGAUUGCUCACGAAUGUUGCCAGGUCUUUUGCUCUUUGGUUUUGCGUCUCUGAAACUAGGGUGCAUUUGUAAGUAAAGGAUCUCUAAACCAUAGUAUUUUUUACAUCUCUCUUGGCAAUAUGUGUUUAAAGUCAAAGUAUCUCAAAACUAUAAUAUUUAGUAUAUAUGUGCAAUGCUAGUACUAAACAAAAACUUUAGGUUAGAUUAAAGUUUCAAAUACUCUAAAAAUAUCAUAGUAUCUACAAAACUAUAAUAUUCAAAACAAGAUUUUUUUAUAAUGUAGUCAAACACCUCUCGACAAAAAAUACUAUAGUAUUAUUCAAUGCCAUAAUUUUACCUUAAAACUCCAAAAAUACUUUACUUCCAAACACACCUAAAUAAAAAGCUAAGUGGUGCUAAAUUGGUCCGAACAUGUCAAAUACUUAAAACCAACUUAGUUAAGCUCAAUUUGCAUUCAUUAGGCUCAUGGAUUAGCAAACUGAAUUUGAGUUAGUUAUAUUCUUUAUCCUUAAUUUGGUUAUGUUGGCAUAAAUCAUCAAAAAGGGGAGAUUGAAAGGUAAAUGGGAAAAUAAGCCAUUUCCAUAAUGUUUUGAUGAAUAAUGUCCAACACAAUAUACCGGACUAACCAUUUGCUAAGUCUACGAGCACAAGUUUAAAUCAAGGUAAAUUGAAUAAAGUGAAAUACAAAUCUCUCUAAACAAGACGAGAUAGCGAAACUUUAUGACAAUGGGUAAAACAAUGAGGUUUGAUCUUUUGAAUAAGUUGCACACACCCAUCACAAUGUCUUUAGCACUUUGUUUCGGUCUCUAACUCUGUUUAUCGAAAAAGUGCAAAUUUGGACUUGUUUUGAGCAGAAACAGGAACCCUGGUGAAAAGAUGCGAAAGAGGUGAGUUUUCAUGACUUAUUUUAAUUUAUUUUACUCUAAUAAUGUUUGUCUAAGUCAUAGGGAAGCUCCCAAGGCCACUCAAAAAAAAAGUGGAGAAGUUUAGCCCAAAAGAGCUAAAGUUGGGCUUAUCUGGGGUUCAUCAGACCGAUUCGGUAGUGCACCGGACCGAGUUACAAGAGAACCCCUCGAAAGGCUUCGGGGCAUGGGGCAGGGUCCAAUGCACCGAACCUCUGCUACAAGAAAAGACUGCUCUCGUGGUUUUCACUACAAAUCAUCUGACUAUGGUCCGAUGGUGCACCAGACCUCGCGUGCAACAACUAAUUCGGGCUUCAAUAGACGACCACAACUAGCUGACGUGGAGGACGGUCCUGUGAUGCAUCGGACCGGUCCAGUGUCAGUCAGUUAUGGAAGUUGUCAAUCAAAAUCCCGGACUGCAUGCUACUGUUUCCGGUCUGGUGGUGCAUCAGACUGGUCCGGUGCAUCACAGCGUAGAGCAGCUUUUGAAGGAAACUCCAACGGCUAUGAGAGGACUUUGGCUAUAAAUGGAGCCCCUAGCCAACCACCUCUCUACACCAAGCUACUCAAGAGCAAGCACAUCAUUCCUACGUUUUUGUGAACCAUGCUAAAGCGAUUCGAGUGCCCUUCGUAGUGAGAUUGAGUUGUGUUGUUGUCGUGCUUGUAUUCUUGUCUUUGGGUGUUGUUUCUUUGGUGUUGCGUUCUACUCCUCUCUCUCUCCUGCUGUUACUUGGAGUAUUGCUCCGAUCGAACUUAUGAACGAAUGCAAGAGACUCUGAUACGUGGAAAUACUUGCGAGGAGAAAAAGAGAUAUAACAAAGAACAGUGGCUUCAAGUUGAUCAUUGGAUCUCUUGAGAAGUGUUGAGAGAAAGGUUGAGUGCAACCCUUCGUCCUCUAUGAGGAGUAGACAAACAUUUGAGUUUUAACUGAACCGCGGAUAAAUCGCCUUGUCUUGUGUAUUCGAUCUUUUGAGAUUUAUUCUUCCUUUUUCAUUCUAAGUUCUUGAGUUCACUUGUAAUCUUGCUCUUGACCGACCGAUGCAUUUCUAUCAUCGACAUGGGUCCUACUGCGUCUCGGCGAGGCCGACGUACUUCCAAAAUAUCUCUGGCGGAUGCACUCCCUUAUCAUCCAUAACCCGUUCGAGAUCUAAAUUUGUAAUGCGCAUUAGUAUUUCACGUAACCAAAACGUAUGCAAACAAAAAUUCAUGCAACGUCUAGCUAAUAAUUGUGAAAAUGGCCUAAUAAUCGAGAGGAUCGACGAAUAGAGAAUGUGUUUGGUUGUAAUGACGAAACGGAUAUGAUGGACCAUCCCUUAUAUAACCUUACCCUGCUAGAGGUCUGGCAAUGGGGAUCUGGGCGACCUCCAUGUUAGAAUCUAUACUGUCUAGGAUCGAUUCCUAAGUCCCUAGAAUACUGAUCCGUAACUGAAAGUAAAAUCUUGAUGACGUGUAGAUCUGAUCUACUGAUCUACUGAGAGGAACGGGGAAACACACCUUUGUUGCUGUUGCUAUCUUCAUAUCGUCGCCCUGCAGAGAAGCAGCAGGCAUUGGGAUCCGAGCCGCUGUAGGUUGUCGCAUUUCCAAACACUCCGACGCCUAGGCGAUGGGGGCCUCUGAGGACUAGGGUUUUGGGGCGAGGUACUAGCGUUAGUCUUUCCUGCGACCCCUUAGUCCUAUAUAUAGCGUCGUGUGUCUGGGGGCUCCAACCGAGGUUAGCGUGGGCCCUCCCGAUCAAGGGCCCGAUUAAAGGAACGAUAGUUGGGUUAAGCCCAAUCCAGUCUCUAUUGACCGGCUGUAGAGGACACACCCAAC